rnacentral:lncRNA from 1 species
AAAGAUAUCACGAAUUAAAGUUGAAUCCGAUUCGGGUCCGAGCUGUCAGGAGACCCGAAUUUGUUUUAAUCACCCAGGCCGCAUCCGGAGUCCAAAUCAAGCAAACAAGUACUUGUUGGAAAGGUAAUUACAAGACCUUUCCAACGGAUCUGGCCCCAUCAAGAGAUUCGACUCGUGCUGACCGUGGCGGACAAAACAAGCUGACGGAUCUGUUUUUCUGUUUCCUAAAGAGUUGUAGUUUGUUAGGAAAGUUAGAGAUAGAGUUGGAUUUCGGACUCCUUAUUCAAGGUGGACGAAAAUAUCUCUCCCUCCUCCUUUAUAUACCCCAUGAGCCCCCCUAAGGAGCCUUGGGUUUUGUUUAGUUAAAAGUUAGCCAUUGCUACUACUUCGUGUAAUCGCGUGUGUCGGUUAGACCACCUGUUUUACCGCUUUCGGAACCCCAACUUAUCGUCUCGUUGAGACAUUGGUUUGAUAUAGUAUAUUCGCAAUUUUAGAUUGCAUCCGCUAUUUAUCUUGUUCUUGCUUGUUCUUCGAUUGUUUGCAGGAACAAAGACCUUCGUGGUCAGGUUGAUCGUGCCCCCGCGUGAUCAAUAACCCUCUGGAGUUGGUGUAUCGAUCGCUAAGGCGCUGCCUCCUAGGCCGUAGUCGGAUCGUCAACGUCACCUCCUACCCAAAUCGAGAGUUACCAAUCUCAUCGAAAGAUCGGGCCACCCGCACCCGUAUCACGUGGUAUCAGAGCCAGGUUGCUCGGUGAGAUUUUUCCAGUUUAUCCCUAGUUUAGAUCUGUUUUACCUAUCGUCCAGAAAAAGCCAAACAAAAAUUAGAAUUAGUUACCUUGUCCUAGAACCAAUCUGAGCCUUGCAAUUUUCACUUUAGUAUUUGCAUUGUUGAAUCUUUGCUGCAUUAAUCGUGUCGAGUUGCUGGAUUUGAUUGGAUCGUUUUUCAGAUUUUUUCUACUAGAUCGAACUUGCUUUUGGUUUUCUUGUUCUUCGUGUGACGCAGGUUUCCUUCAUCAAUCUUCCGCCGCCAAACUUCCUGCCACACCACCCCCAUAAUCUCCCGCCGCCACCAUAUCUUACACCGAGUCUCUCAUCGAGUCCUACACCGAGUCCCUCUUGGAGUCCUACACCGAGUCCCUCAUCGAGUCCUACACCGAGUCCCUCUUGGAGUCCUACACCGAGUCCCUCAUCGAGUCCUACACCGAGUCCCUCAUCGAGUCCUACACCCAGUCCCUCUUCGAGUCCUACACCGAGUCCCUCGUCGAGUCCUACACCGUGUCCUACAUCGAGUUCUACAUUGAGUCGGCAAGUUAUAGUUUUCAGCCGCAAGUUCGAGUCCGAGUCUAAUCAAGAGUGCUUUUGGAAAGUUUUCAUAAUAGAUCGAAUUUUGUUUAGAGAUCAAGUUGUUCGGAAAGUUGUCAAAAAAAAAAGGAAAGAAAAAAAAAACGAAAAAAAAAAAGAGAAAGAGUUCGAGUCAGUUUCGGACCCGAGUCCGAGUAGAAUUUUAGUUUCGGGUGGGUUUGACCCGUGUUCAGUAAAACGGGCGUAUCUUUUGCGUAUCAACUCGGAUUUGGACGUUCUCAGACUUUUUGGAAAGCUCACGACGAGGCGCAUCAGGAAAUAUCCAUGGCUUUGCCCUGCACUUUGACCCUCAAAUUCGGUUUGUAAGGUGGACUUUCGGAGCUUCCAAGUUUCUGCAUCCGUUUUCCGGCGUCGCUGCAGCCCGGUGUUUCUCAGUUUCCUCCACCGUCCGACAUCCGUUUUCAGUGAUCUUGCCCUUGCUAGAAAUCUUGUGUCGAUACGCUUCUAACCCAUAUUUUUCCAUAUUUUUCUGAAAUUUUCUUACUACAGUCUUUGCUGUUCUUCGACAGACCGACGUACAUUUUUCCGGUCCUUCUUUUGCGUGAGUUUCUGGGGUUAAAAAAAAAAGAAAAAAAAAAGAAGAAGAAAAGAAUAAGAAGCCAAACAGAAGGCCACAAAAAGAAAAAAAAAGAAAAAAAAAUCCCAGGGAUUUACUUGUUGUGCCAUCUUUUGAUCUAUCUAUUCCUACCUUCUGCAGUAUCUAGGCUUAGAUUAUUUCUGUAAUUCGUUCUUAUCGACUCCAGCAGCUAGGACUAGCAUUAUUGAGCAUAUUUUCAACUUUGCAUUGCUGAUUUGAUUAUUUGCUAUUCCUUGCUACUCACAAAAGCCUCCAAGCUCCACAGAUUCUACACCUAGGUUGGUUUGUUACCGAGGCAUCGAUACAUUUAAUCUUCGGAGGGCUUGGUCACGCCGCUGGCCAUCACCUUCCUGUUUUGCAUGGUAAGAACUUGAUUUUUAGCUUGAGAGUUGUGCGACUUGUAGCCACAUCCUAGUAGUUGAUACGAACAUAUUACUGUGAUUUGUUUCUUGUUUUCUACUAACCAUGACAGGACUUACACGAAGCAUGGCAACUAGACCGAUGCUAUCCCGUGACCGUGAUGAGUGCUUUUCACCACGGCCAUCCUCCACGUCUCUUGUUGAUAAUGCCACGGCAACGGUACAAAACAAUCCUUCUAAUACAAUUAAAUUGUGUGUACCUUUCUUUGAGGGGGAAAAUGAUGCUGAAACGUAUAUAGAUUGGGAGCUAGCUUUAACUGCACAAUUCACAUGCUUCCAUGUACUUGAUAGUCGCAAGGUUCAAAUUGCUAGUAGUAAAUUUACAUUUGCUGCUUUAUCUUGGUGGAAUGAGAUAGUUAGAGAAAAGAAAAUUCCCCACACUUGGGUUGAUAUGAAGAAAAUCAUGAGAAUAAUAUGUCCCUUUUAGUUAUGCUUUUAACUUGCGUUCAAAAUUAUGACGUUUGGCACAAGAUGAUAAAACUGUUGAUGAUUACUACAAUGAGUUCCAAAUUAUAACCUUGCGAUCUGGUUUAGAUGAAACCGAACAAAGAAAAAUGGAUAGGUUUUAUUGUGGGCUUAACUUUGAUAUUUCUUACAUGAUUGAAUAUGGAAAAUACGACUCUCUUUUGUGUUUGCUUAAUCUUGCUCGUAAAGUUGAGAGGAAAUUACAGCGAGGGUCUACUACAAAUGAGUCGAGCCCACAAGGUAGUGAUACAGAGGAUUGUGUUGCUGAACUAAAAAGGGCAUGUGAUGAAAUAAAUGUGAUACCUGUUGAAUUUUCUGCACCAUGUGAAAUUAUUGUCGUACAUGGUGAUUCAAGUGCACCUACUGCUGAAAUUAAUUCUUCUAAUGAUUUGAGUGCACAAAUUAAUUUUGAUAUUGAUGAGAACGAAUCAUGUGAGGAAAUAACUAAUGUUUUGGGAGAAGCAAGUGAGAUAGAUAAAUUUGAUUUAGGUUGUGUCGAGUUGAUUAGACAUGGAGUGAUUGAUAAAGAUCCACCUAUUAAUUCUUUGUGUUAUAUUACACUUGAUACACCUAUAUAUUUGUCACAUGCAAUGGAUAAAGUUUCUGAGUUAACAAUUUCAAAAUCUUUUGCUAAUGCCCAUGCAUACACUAUUCAAUUAAUUGGAGAACAUGAUGUCAACAAUAAAGUUUUGGUGCAUCAGAUUUGCAUUGCUUGUGAUAACUUUCUUGAUUUGAGAGAAAAUAAUAUGUUGCAUAUGCUUAACCAUUUUGAUAUGACCUCCAAUAUUGGUGUUGAUUAUUUGCCAAUUAGUUCUUUACACGAUUGUUUGAAUAUUAGUGCUUUGACAUGCUCUAAAUUUCAGCAUCUUGUAAUAACUAAUUUGGGUAACAUUAUUAAUUAUUAUUCUCCAGUGUUGGGAUGGUAUAAUGGUGAGCGGUGCAAACCAAAUACAAGAUAUUGUUUCACUUAUAUAUGCAAAACAUAUUGUCAAUCUUCUUGCUGGAAUGAUAUUCAUGAUGAUUGUGUGACUAAUUAUCUCAUGAGAUUGUGUUAUAAAACAUUAAUUGUGCAACAUGGGAGUGGAGUUAAAAAUAACGAUAUAUACAUAUACCAUGUGCAUACCUUGUCUCUUUUGUUAGCAUAUUUUCAGCAUAAACGACGCCGAGGACGGCUUUCCUUUCAAGAAAGGGAGGAUGAUAUGGACAUGCUAACCAUGGAUACGACCAUUAGAACCCUAAUUGUUGGUGUCUCUAAAGUUAUAAUCAGGUGAAUUCAAUUACAAAAUGUUUUCAAUAUGUUACUUGCAAAGAGGCGGAGCUACUAUCUUGUGUAAUCUUAUUAUGUAGGCAUCUUAUUGAACUUUACAAGUCCAAAGUGAAGAUGAAGUGUUAUAGCCUGCAAAGGGAGAUUCAAAGUGAAGCCUAUCAAGUGUACUUUCCAACAAAUCAAACGGCACAUGAUUCGGAGCUUGCUAGAGAAAGAUAUCACGAAUUAAAGUUGAAUCCGAUUCGGGUCCGAGCUGUCAGGAGACCCGAAUUUGUUUUAAUCACCCAGGCCGCAUCCGGAGUCCAAAUCAAGCAAACAAGUACUUGUUGGAAAGGUAAUUACAAGACCUUUCCAACGGAUCUGGCCCCAUCAAGAGAUUCGACUCGUGCUGACCGUGGCGGACAAAACAAGCUGACGGAUCUGUUUUUCUGUUAGCUAAAGAGUUGUAGUUUGUUAGGAAAGUUAGAGAUAGAGUUGGAUUUCGGACUCCUUAUUCAAGGUGGACGAAAAUAUCUCUCCCUCCUCCUUUAUAUACCCCAUGAGCCCCCUAAGGAGCCUUGGGUUUUGUUUAGUUAAAAGUUAGCCAUUGCUACUACUUCGUGUAAUCGCGUGUGUCGGUUAGACCACCUGUUUUACCGCUUUCGGAACCCCAACUUAUCGUCUCGUUGAGACAUUGGUUUGAUAUAGUAUAUUCGCAAUUUUAGAUUGCAUCCGCUAUUUAUCCGCUAUUUAUACCCCAUGAGCCCCCCUAUGGAGCCUUGGGUUUUGAUUAGAUAAAGUUUAGCCUUUGCUACUUUCGUGUAAUCGCGUGUGUCGGUUAGACCACCUAUUUUACCGUCAUCAAGACUCCAACUAUAUUGAGUAUUCAGAUUCGUGAACCUUCAUAUCUCCUAUUCGCAAUUUCAGAUUGCUUUUCAUCUUGUUCUUGCUUGUUCUUCGAUUGCUUGCAGGAACAAAGACCUUCGUGGUCAGGUUGAUCGUGCCCCCGCGUGAUCAAUAACCCUCUGGAGUUGGUGUAUCGAUUGCUAAGGCGCUGCCUCCUAGGCCGUAGUUGGAUCGUCAACGUCACCUCCUACCCAAAUCGAGAGUUACCAAUCUCAUCGAAAGAUCGGGCCACCCGCACCCGUAUCACCUGUUCUAUUUGUGGAAAAGAAGGACAAGAGCCAACGGAUGUGCAUAGAUUAUCGUUCACUAAAUGAGGUGAUGAUAAAGAAAAAAUACCCCUUACCUAUAAUCAAUGAUCUAUUCGAUCAAUUGAAAGGAGCCUGUGUAUUCUCAAAGAUCGAUCUUCGAUCGGGUUAUUUUCAGUUAAAGAUCCGAGAAGCGGAUAUACCCAAGACAGCCUUUACCACUAGAUAUGGCCUGUAUGAGUAUACGGUGAUGCCUUUUGGAUUGACCAACGCACCGGCAUACUUUAUGAAUAUGAUGAAUAAAGUGUUCAUGGAAUAUUUGGACAAGUUUGUCGUAGUGUUCAUCGACGACAUUUUGAUUUACUCGAAGAGCAAAGAAGAACAUGAAGUACAUUUGCGUCUGAUUAUGGAAAAGCUCAGAGAACACAAGCUUUAUGCCAAAUUCAGCAAGUGUGAAUUUUGGUUGUCCGAAGUAGGUUUCUUGGGACACAUAGUGUCAGGAGACGGAGUUGCUGUUGACCCAGCUAAAGUAGCAGCGGUAACAGAAUGGGAAGCCUCUAAGAACGUCGGUGAUGUUCGCAGUUUCUUAGGACUUGCUGGAUGGAUACUAUAGGAGGUUCAUUGAGAAUUUUUCCAAGAUAGCAAAACCCAUGACUGAACUUUUGAAGAAAGAGAAGAAAUUUGAGUGGUCUGAUAAGUGUGAAGAAAGUUUUCAAGAAUUGAAGAAGAGAUUACUGUCUGCACCCAUCCUUGUUUUACCCAACUUGCUAGAAGAUUUCGAAGUGUACUGUGACGCCUCGCGUCUAAAAUUGGGCUGUGUUUUGAUGCAAGAAGGAAGAGUUGUGGCAUACGCCUCACGACAACUUAAGAGUCACGAAGGAAAUUACCCCACUCAUGAUUUGGAAGUAGCAUCUGUAGUGCACGCACUAAAAACUUGGAGGCACUAUCUCAUGGGAAAGCAUUGUGAAUUAUUCACCGAUCACAAGAGCUUGAAAUAUAUAUUCACGCAGAAGGAAUUGAACUUGAGACCAAGAAGAUGGUUAGAGUUAAUCAAGAAUUAUAAUUUGAAUCUGCAAUACCACCCAGGCAAGGCUAAUGUAGUAGCCGACGCUUUAAGCCGUAAAGGCUAUGUCAAUGGUCUUACAGCUGGAGAGUUACCCUCCGAGUUGUGCGAACAAUUCAAGGACUUCAGAUUGGAGAUAGUCCUGGAAGGUUAUCUGGCUAACUUGGAAGUACAACCCACCUUGUUGGACAGAAUUAGAGAAGCCCAGAAAGGCGACUCCGAAAUUAAGUAGAUAAAGGAUAAUAUGGUUGCCGGAAAGGCGAAAUGAUUCAUUGAGGAUGACCAAGGUACCAUAUGGUUUGAGAAAUGUAUUUGUGUACCACAGGACCCUGAGAUCAGAAAGUUUAAUACUUCAAGAGGCUCACGAUUCACCGUACUCGAUUCACCCUGGGAACACAAAAAAGUACAUGGACUUGAAAGAAAGAUUUUGGUGGACAGGGUUGAAGCGAGAUAUCGCUGAGUCUAUUGCUCUAUGUGAUGUAUGUAACAAAGUCAAGGCUGAACAUCAGAAACCAGCUGGAGUACUACGACCAUUGCCAGUGCCAAACUGGAAAUGGGAUAAAGUAGGCAUGGAUUUCAUCACCGGCUUGCCGAGGACAAGGUCUGGUUAUGAUUCGAUAUGGGUAGUAGUUGACCGUUUGACAAGGGUUGCUCAUUUCAUACCUGUGAAGACCACUUAUACAAGUGCUCAGUUGGCCAAACGCUACAUGCCUAGAAUUGUGUGCCUACAUGUUGAUAUGGACAUGCUAACCAUGGAUACGACCAUUAAAACCCUAAUUGUUGGUGUCUCUAAUAACAAUUAUAAUCAGGUGAAUUCAAUUACAAAAUGUUUUCAAUAUGUUACUUGCAAAGAGGCGGAGCUACUAUCUUUACAAGUCCAAAGUGAAGAUGAAGUGUGAUAGCCUGCAAAGGGAGAUUCAAAGUGAAGCCUAUCAAGUCUACUUUCCAACAAAUCAAACUGCACAUGAUUCGGAGCUUGCUAGAGAAAGAUAUCACGAAUUAAAGUUGAAUCCGAUUCGGGUCCGAGCUGUCAGGAGACCCGAAUUUGUUUUAAUCACCCAGACCGCAUCCAGAGUCCAAAUCAAGCAAACAAGUACUUGUUGGAAAGGUAAUUACAAGUCCUUUCCAACGGAUCUAGCCCCAUCAAGAGAUUCGACUUGUGCUGACUGUGGCGGACAAAACAAGCUGACGGAUCUGUUUUUCUGUUUCUUAAAGAGUUGUAGUUUGUUAGGAAAGUUAGAGAUAGAGUUGGAUUUCGGCCUCCUUACUCAAGGUGGACGAAAAUAUCUCUCCCUCCUCCUUUAUAUACCCCAUGAGCCCCCUAAGGAGCCUUGGGUUUUGAUUAGAUAAAGUUUAGCCAUCUUUGCUACUUUCGUGUAAUCGUGUGUGUCGGUUAGACCACCUGUUUUACCGUCGU